GACGAACGCUGGCGGCGUGCUUAACACAUGCAAGUCGAACGGAAAGGCCCUGCUUUUGUGGGGUGCUCGAGUGGCGAACGGGUGAGUAACACGUGAGUAACCUGCCCUUGACUUUGGGAUAACUUCAGGAAACUGGGGCUAAUACCGGAUAGGAGCUCCUGCUGCAUGGUGGGGGUUGGAAAGUUUCGGCGGUUGGGGAUGGACUCGCGGCUUAUCAGCUUGUUGGUGGGGUAGUGGCUUACCAAGGCUUUGACGGGUAGCCGGCCUGAGAGGGUGACCGGCCACAUUGGGACUGAGAUACGGCCCAGACUCCUACGGGAGGCAGCAGUGGGGAAUAUUGCGCAAUGGGCGGAAGCCUGAUGCAGCGACGCCGCGUGCGGGAUGACGGCCUUCGGGUUGUAAACCGCUUUCGCCUGUGACGAAGCGUGAGUGACGGUAAUGGGUAAAGAAGCACCGGCUAACUACGUG
rnacentral:rRNA from 1 species